UACGUAGGGGCCUAGCGUUGUCCGGAUUUAUUGGGCGUAAAGGGCUCGUAGGUGGCCAACUAAGUCAGACGUGAAAUCCCUCAGCUUAACUGGGAAACUGCGUCUGAUACUGGAUGGCUUGAGAUUGGGAGAGGGAUGCGGAAUUCCAGGUGUAGCGGUGAAAUGCGUAGAUAUCUGGAGGAACACCGGUGGCGAAGGCGGCAUCCUGGACCAACACUGACACUGAGGAGCGAAAGCCAGGGGAGCGAAUGGG
rnacentral:rRNA from 1 species